UAGUCCACGCCGUAAACGAUGAUCACUCGCUGUCUGCGAUACACAGUAGGCGGCUGAGCGAAAGCAUUAAGUGAUCCACCUGGGGAGUACGAUCGCAAGGUUGAAACUCAAAGGAAUUGACGGGGGCCCGCACAAGCGGAGGAACAUGUGGUUUAAUUCGAUGAUACGCGAGGAACCUUACCUGGGCUUAAAUGUAGAUUGCAUAUCUUAGAAAUAGGAUUUCCCUUCGGGGCUAUUUACAAGGUGCUGCAUGGUUGUCGUCAGCUCGUGCCGUGAGGUGUCGGGUUAAGUCCCAUAACGAGCGCAACCCCUAUCGUUAGUUGCUAGCAGGUAAUGCUGAGGACUCUAGCGAGACUGCCACCGUAAGGUGAGAGGAAGGUGGGGGAUGACGUCAAGUCAUCAUGGCCCUUAUGGGGCAGGGGCUACACACGUGCUACAAUGGCCGGUACAGA
rnacentral:rRNA from 1 species